ensembl:lncRNA
UGUUUACUCUGAGGUCCUUUACUCUGAGGCUGUUUACUCUGAGGUCCUUUACUCUGAGGCUGUUUACUCUGAGGUCCUUUACUCUGAUGUCCUUUAAUCUGAGGCUGUUUACUCUGAGGCUGUUUACACUAAGGUCCUUUACUCUAAGGCUGUUUACUCUGAGGUCCUUUACUCUGAGGCUGUUUACUCUAAGGCUGUUUACUCUGAGGUCCUUUACUGUGAGGCUGUUUACUCUGAGGUCCUUUACUCUAAGGCUGUUUACUCUGAGGUCUUUUACUCUAAGGCUGUUUACUCUGAGGUCCUUUACUCUGAGGUCCUUUACUCUAAGGCUGUUGACUCUGAGGUCCUUUACUCUAAGGCUGUUUACUCUGAGGUCCUUUACUCUGAGGUCCUUUACUCUGAGGCUGUUUACUCUGAGGCUGUUUACUCUGAGGUCCUUUACUCUGAGGCUGUUUACUCUAAGGUCCUUUCUCUUAUUCUCAGAGAGAUGUCUCUGCAGCCCUAUCCUUUCUGUUCUCAUUCUUCUCCUUCUCCCCUCCCUCCCCUUUCUCCAG